rnacentral:rRNA from 1 species
GUGGAGAGUUUGAUCCUGGCUCAGAUUGAACGCUGGCGGCAGGCCUAACACAUGCAAGUCGAGCGAGACCUUCGGGUCUAGCGGCGGACGGGUUAGUAACGCGUGGGAACGUGCCCUUCUCUACGGAAUAGCCUCGGGAAACUGAGAGUAAUACCGUAUACGCCCUUUGGGGGAAAGAUUUAUCGGAGAAGGAUCGGCCCGCGUUAGAUUAGAUAGUUGGUGGGGUAAUGGCCUACCAAGUCUACGAUCUAUAGCUGGUUUGAGAGGAUGAUCAGCAACACUGGGACUGAGACACGGCCCAGACUCCUACGGGAGGCAGCAGU